GACCGCGUAGCUCAGGUGGCAGAGCAUUGGGCUAGUAUUCCAAAGGUCGUAGGUUCGAUUCCCACCGUGGCCG